rfam:Sus scrofa isolate TJ Tabasco breed Duroc chromosome 13, whole genome shotgun sequence.
UAGUCUAGUGGUUGGAUUCCUGGUUUUUACUCAGGCUGCUCAGGUUUAAUUCCUGA